rnacentral:tRNA from 1 species
UGUUUAAACCGUGCAUAUGACGCUGACUCUCAAUGAAUCCCUCUCACGAAAAAGAGACCCCUCUUUGAAACAAAGAGGAUCCCCCCCCCGUCUCUUUGAGGCCCCUACCUCUGUUGAGAGAACUAUUUGAGGGUUUAGUGCUCAUGUGUUGACAGUAUACAAGCAGACAUGCCGUCUUCGUUUCUCUUUCUUCAGAUGAUGAUCCCAAGCCUUCUGGCGAUCUCUUAAAAUAAAGUCUUAGAUUUUAAAGACCAUGAAUUUACUUAAAGCUUAUAGGGUAACAAAAGGCUUUAUGUGGAAAGCAGUUCAAGCUUUUCUCAUAAUUUAAGAUGAUACCGGCGAAGGUUUUCCGGUUUAUCCCGGAGGGCUUGUAGCUCAGUUGGUUAGAGCGCGCGCUUGAUAAGCGUGAGGUCGGAGGUUCAAGUCCUCCCAGGCCCACCAAUUUAUGCUCGUUUUUUGCCUAUUUUAAAGCAUAUGACGCUUAAGCGUAUUAAAGCCUCUUUAAUCUUUGUUGAUUAUUAAAGAUUUUGUUUUAUUUGAAAUAGUUUUGGCUAUCCAAGUUGAAAAAUGGGUUGAGGUUGAAUUGAGAGAGGCAUUGUUUAGGGGCCGUAGCUCAGCUGGGAGAGCACCUGCUUUGCAAGCAGGGGGUCGUCGGUUCGAUCCCGUCCGGCUCCACCACUUAAUUGAUCAUCAUCAUGUUGUAAGAACACGGUUUAGUGAGAGGUUUUUGAACCUUUUGCUUGUUCUAUUGAAAUUGUGAAGAGAAGAUAUAUUCAAACAUGUUCCUUU